rnacentral:rRNA from 1 species
CCUACGGGCGGCAGCAGUGAGGAAUAUUGGUCAAUGGACGAGAGUCUGAACCAGCCAAGUAGCGUGAAGGAUGACUGCCCUAUGGGUUGUAAACUUCUUUUAUAUGGGAAUAAAAUGUUCCACGUGUGGGAUUUUGUAUGUACCAUAUGAAUAAGGAUCGGCUAACUCCGUGCCAGCAGCCGCGGUAAUACGGAGGAUCCGAGCGUUAUCCGGAUUUAUUGGGUUUAAAGGGAGCGUAGGUGGAUUGUUAAGUCAGGUGUGAAAGUUUGCGGCUCAACCGUAAAAUUGCAGUUGAAACUGGCAGUCUUGAGUACAGUAGAGGUGGGCGGAAUUCGUGGUGUAGCGGUGAAAUGCUUAGAUAUCACGAAGAACUCCGAUUGCGAAGGCAGUUCACUGGACUGCAACUGACACUGAGGCUCGAAAGUGUGGGUAUCAAACAGGAUUAGAUACCCCUGUAGUC